rnacentral:lncRNA from 1 species
CUUUUCAUCUAACUUCAUCAUUCUAUCACCUCUCAUCAAUGGUUUGGAUUAUUUUCUACUCAAAAUCACUAUCAAGAUUUGAUGCUAAAGCAAUCCUUACAUUAUUUGUUAGAUUAACUGAUGAAUCCAUGAUGUAAGAAUUAGAAUUAUGGAAAAAAAAUAUCUAAAAUUAUAACACAUUUAUGGGUAAAAUCUAAUAUAAAUUGAAAAUAUUACGUUCGUUGUCGAGAUCGAAGACCAGUCACCGAUGCUUAUCGCUGAAGGCAAACACC